rnacentral:rRNA from 1 species
AUGGCAACGGCAUCGAGGCUCCUGCGGGCCGCCCGGCACGCAUCGCUCGCAUCUCGCGCCGCUGCGUCAGCGGCAUCGAGGCUGCUGCGGGCCGCCCGGAACGCAUCGCUCGCAUCUCGCCCCGCUGCGUCAGCCGCAUCUCGCGCCGCUGCGAUGGCCGCGUGCGGCACCGUCGCGGCAGCCGCAUCUCGCGCCGCUGCGAUGGCCUCUCGCUCAGAGCGUGCGGCCGCAGCCGUCGCCCAUUUAGCCUCGGACGUCCUCCAGAGCCGCCCAAUUCGCGGCGAUGCCUCAAGCACGAAGCCCCAUGGCCGUGACGCUCCUCGUUUUUGCCUCGCCGAGUACCUAUCCAGCGCCAAUUACAAGCGCUUGCCAGAUGAUGUUAAGACCCCGACGGACAAGGACCUUGAGUCGGACGAAGCCCUAUGGGCCUUGUAUGAGCGCUGGUGCAAGGCUCAUAACAAGGAACGUGACCAUGCGGACAUGGCUCGCCGGUUCAAAAUAUUCAAGAUCAAUGCAGAUGAUGUGCACCAUUGGAACACUUAUCUUCCUCCAGAUCCAGUGGAAGCAGCCAUUCACCGUGAGAAAAGAGAAGAGGCAAAGUUACUUCGUUCAAAAGGCCAAGACGUCUCAUACUUUGAUGUGUGGCAUCUGCCAUCGGAAUUAGGUCCAUUCGCCGAUGGCGGAGACCCAUUUAUUACCGAAAGCAAUAUGCGCUUGUUGAAGGAAAUCGAAGAUGCUGAAGGUGUUAAAGCAGAGUAG